CUAGCGUUGCUCGGAAUUACUGGGCGUAAAGGGCGCGUAGGCGGCACUGUUAGUCAGGCGUGAAAUUCCUGGGCUCAACCUGGGGACUGCGCUUGAUACGGCAGAGCUUGAGGAUGGAAGAGGGUCGCGGAAUUCCCAGUGUAGAGGUGAAAUUCGUAGAUAUUGGGAAGAACACCGGUGGCGAAGGCGGCGACCUGGUCCAUUACUGACGCUGAGGCGCGACAGCGUGGGGAGCAAACAGG
rnacentral:rRNA from 1 species